AUCUAAAACACAAUAAAAUAAAGAGUAAUUUAUAGAAUAAGUCAGGAAAAGAAACGAAGCGGGUAGUGUGCUACCUAUCUUUCAAAAAAAAAAAAGUUAGAGAAAGAACUCCUCAUUCUGUGCAUAUUUUUACAGGGCACUUGCUUAUAAAUUCAUGAAAUAUUUUCGACUUGCUGAUUUACUCCUCUUAGAAGGCUAAUAUUGAAAAUGCUCUUUUUACGUUCCAAUAUAUUUCAAAUAUAUCCCUAGAGUUAAAUUCUGUUAAUAAACUAUUAGCAAUAGUUGUUAUUUUUAUAAAAUUACUAUUUUACCCUUUCAAAUAUACCUUAAUUUCUGCCGUCACCCACUUUUCUUAUUUGUCGUUAAGUUAGGAGCACAAAAAAUAUAUUUUAAUUUUUAGUCUUUUCAAAUAUAUCUUCUAUCAUUUCCAACAUUUCUUAUUUGUCCUUAAGUUAAAGAUAAAAUAGACAUUUUGAUUUUUUUAAAACUCUGCUAGAUAUUUAAUUUACGUUUAAUCCAAGUUAACUUAAUGGGUAGUAACUAUAGGAGUAUUUUGGAAUAACGGAGGAACAUAUGAGGGGUAUAAUCGAAAAAAAAAGAAGGAAUAAAUGAGAUAUUUUCGAAGUUUUGAGAAAUAUAUAGGGAAUUAUUCUUAUUUUUCUUUACACUUUAUUUGGAUUGAGAGAAGAAAAAAAAGAUAGGAGAAAAAAUAUUUCUUUAUUUUUGUUUUGGUCUAAAUUUGAGGAAAGGGAAAAAGAGAAACGUUGAGA
rnacentral:lncRNA from 1 species